rnacentral:rRNA from 1 species
AUUGAACGCUGGCGGCAGGCCCAACACAUGCAAGUCGAACGGUAACAGGAAGAAGCUUGCUUCUUUGCUGACGAGUGGCGGACGGGUGAGUAAUGUCUGGGAAACUGCCUGAUGGAGGGGGAUAACUACUGGAAACGGUAGCUAAUACCGCAUAACGUCGCAAGACCAAAGAGGGGGGCCUUCGGGCCUCUUGCCAUCGGAUGUGCCCAGAUGGGAUUAGCUAGUAGGUGGGGUAACGGCUCACCUAGGCGACGAUCCCUAGCUGGUCUGAGAGGAUGACCAGCCACACUGGAACUGAGACACGGUCCAGACUCCUACGGGAGGCAGCAGUGGGGAAUAUUGCACAAUGGGCGCAAGCCUGAUGCAGCCAUGCCGCGUGUAUGAAGAAGGCCUUCGGGUUGUAAAGUACUUUCAGCGGGGAGGAAGGGAGUAAAGUUAAUACCUUUGCUCAUUGACGUUACCCGCAGAAGAAGCACCGGCUAACUCCGUG